UGCAGUUACUUAAAGCGAAAGUUUUAAUUACGUACUAGGCAUGUCCAAAGGUCGCAUCUUCACGUGAUGGCGCACAUGAUUUUUUUUGUUAUUCGCCGGUCUAUAACGUAUUAUCUCCCUCUCGCGCUAUUGCAAGGGAGACAGCCUAAUUUCGUCACUCUCACGUGAUAUGCUCUCAACCAAUAAAACACUAGAAAAAUGCGACUUUGACUAUUGAUAUAUAAUAAUUCAUUUUAUUUCGGAUAUCGAAGUCCGAUCCGAUCCAACUACGAAACAACUUUAUCAAUCCGAUCCGAAUAUUUUGGUUCCGAAAUCCGAACAAAUCCGAUCUGAUUUGCACACCUCUAAUAGACUGUAUGUUCACAUUGGAAAACAUAUGUGUGCCUUGUUAUCUUAGGAAUAUAGUGGGAAAUUUUGACAGCCAUUCCUUGCCCAACACUGGGGAUUUUUACUACAAAAUUUUAAAAAUGUCAAACUUCCUGCAUCAGGGAAAACAUUGAUAGGUGCAUUAGGACCAAUCUUAAGAAAUAUUGAUGUAAAUAGCAUAUAUAUUUGUGUAGUAUGACAUGUGUGUGUGUUGUUAUGUGUGUGUCUAUCAUUAUGGUGUAUGAAGAAUUUAAAUCAGUUAUGUAAAAUUUCACUGAAAAUAUUUUUAAGGGUGCGAAAUUAAAAAUACAACAUAUUUACAACAACAUAUAUUAAGCCUUUAAGUGGCAAUGUGCCCUAAUGGCCCGGCUUUCAAUUGUUAUUUUACUCUCUCCAAUAUGCCAGAUGAUUUUCCUAAUGGCUGAUGCACACUACUUUGUUAUUAGGCUUCGUC